rnacentral:rRNA from 1 species
AUACGGAGGAUGCGAGCGUUAUCCGGAUUUAUUGGGUUUAAAGGGUGCGUAGGCUGUGCGUUAAGUCAGGGGUGAAAUGCCGUCGCUCAACGACGGAGCUGCCCUUGAUACUGGCGUGCUGGAGUACGGAUGCCGUUGGAGGAAUGAGUGGUGUAGCGGUGAAAUGCUUAGAUAUCACUCAGAACACCGAUUGCGAAGGCAUCUGACGAAUCCGUCACUGACGCUGAGGCACGAAAGCGUGGGGAUAGAACAGGAUUAGAUACCCUGGUAUUCCACGCCGUAAACGAUGAUGACUAACCGUCGGCGAUAGACAGCCGGUGGCCAAGCGAAAGCGAUAAGUCAUCCACCUGGGGAGUACGUCGGCAACGAUGAAACUCAUAGGAAUUGACGGGG